GCGUUUUCAAGGACGCAGCCUCGAGAGCAAGCUGCCCCGCUACUGACUGAACUCAGCUAAGGCCUCUAUGGGAACUGUGAAGAUUUGGGGGAUGAACUUGCAGUUUUGAGGAGUGCAGUUUCUUGUGAUUAGACUGGGAUUAUGGAUUUGAGGAAGGUAGAUCACAGAGUGAUUAACAGACCAACCAGAUCACAUGCUUAAAUCACCUUGUGCAUGAAUAGUGGGCCUGGUUCUCUUCAAACAAAUGCUGCUGAUAUACGGACUUCAGAAGAAUACUUUCUGAAUCAACGAUGAAGAGAGAAUUGAGAUCCAGUUCUGCAGCCAGCAAAGAUAACACCUCAAUUGAUUGCCCACCACAUGGAGUAUGAGACAUAUAUAGACCUCAGUAAUUAUUCAGCAGUGGCAAAAUUUAGAUAUGUAGGGAUAACUAGAACACCUUGAUUACAAUAACACAUUGUGUACCUAAUGUAACAAUAUCCU